UCCUGAAACUAAUCCUAAAACUAACUACAAAUAGGAGGCCCACAGGGGAAAAUUACUCUCCACAUCAGCCGCUCGUUUUAGUGGUCCAUUUUGAGGUUAUCUGUCCUUGCUCGCAAGUCCCGGCAUUUGUUCUCUUUGGGAGAUAGUUUUAUUCAGAGUCAAAACUAGGGUGACCGAUCUUUUAGCAAUACUUACCCUACAAAUCAACGGUGUGUUAUUUGCU